rnacentral:rRNA from 1 species
UGGGGAAUAUUGCACAAUGGGCGCAAGCCUGAUGCAGCCAUGCCGCGUGUAUGAAGAAGGCCUUCGGGUUGUAAAGUACUUUCAGUCGGGAGGAAGGUGUCAAGGUUAAUAACCUUGGCAAUUGACGUUACCGACAGAAGAAGCACCGGCUAACUCCGUGCCAGCAGCCGCGGUAAUACGGAGGGUGCAAGCGUUAAUCGGAAUUACUGGGCGUAAAGCGCACGCAGGCGGUUGAUUGAGUCAAAUGUGAAAUCCCCGGGCUUAACCCGGGAAUUGCAUCUGAUACUGGUCAGCUGGAGUCUUGUAGAGGGGGGGAGAAUUCCAUGUGUAGCGGUGAAAUGCGUAGAGAUGUGGAGGAAUACCGGUGGCGAAGGCGGCCCCCUGGACAAAGACUGACGCUCAGGUGCGAAAGCGUGGGGAGCAAACAGG